rnacentral:tRNA from 1 species
GUUUCCGUAGAGCAAGUGACUCUUAAUCACGAGGUUCAGGGUUCAAGUCCCCGUGGAAGCACCA